rnacentral:rRNA from 1 species
UACGUAGGGACCAAGCGUUGUUCGGAUUUACUGGGCGUAAAGGGCGCGUAGGCGGCAAUUCAAGUCAUCUGUGAACUCUCCGGGCUUAACUCGGAACGGUCAGAUGAUACUGCUUUGCUAGAGUGCGGAAGGGGCAAUCGGAAUUCUUGGUGUAGCGGUGAAAUGCGUAGAUAUCAAGAGGAACACCUGAGGUGAAGACGGGUUGCUGGGCCGACACUGACGCUGAUAGCGCGAAAGCCAGGGGAGCAAACGGG